GGGAUGUUCAUAGAGCAGAUUGAAUGUCUGGAGAAAGAGAAAGCAGCUCUGUCUCAGGAGAAGAGAGAGACGGAUGAGUUCUUGUCUCUUGAGAUCAAGUUCAUGAAAGAGUAUGAGAAUGAGUUGCAAAAUGAGAUCACCGACUUGAAAAAGACCAUCGAAGGCUCUGAGCUUCAAUGCCGAGAGCUUCAGAACAAGCUAGAAAAGCUGACUGAUGAACUGAAGAAGAAAACUGAAUUUGCAGAGGACCUUCAGAGUAUGG